GAUGAACGCUGGCGGCGUGCCUAAUACAUGCAAGUCGAGCGAACGGACGAGAAGCUUGCUUCUCUGAUGUUAGCGGCGGACGGGUGAGUAACACGUGGAUAACCUACCUAUAAGACUGGGAUAACUUCGGGAAACCGGAGCUAAUACCGGAUAAUAUUUUGAACCGCAUGGUUCAAAAGUGAAAGACGGUCUUGCUGUCACUUAUAGAUGGAUCCGCGCUGCAUUAGCUAGUUGGUAAGGUAACGGCUUACCAAGGCAACGAUGCAUAGCCGACCUGAGAGGGUGAUCGGCCACACUGGAACUGAGACACGGUCCAGACUCCUACGGGAGGCAGCAGUAGGGAAUCUUCCGCAAUGGGCGAAAGCCUGACGGAGCAACGCCGCGUGAGUGAUGAAGGUCUUCGGAUCGUAAAACUCUGUUAUUAGGGAAGAACAUAUGUGUAAGUAACUGUGCACAUCUUGACGGUACCUAAUCAGAAAGCCACGGCUAACUACGUGCCAGCAGCCGCGGUAAUACGUAGGUGGCAAGCGUUAUCCGGAAUUAUUGGGCGUAAAGCGCGCGUAGGCGGUUUUUUAAGUCUGAUGUGAAGCCCACGGCUCAACCGUGGAGGGUCAUUGGAAACUGGAAAACUUGAGUGCAGAAGAGGAAAGUGGAAUUCCAUGUGUAGCGGUGAAAUGCGCAGAGAUAUGGAGGAACACCAGUGGCGAAGGCGACUUUCUGGUCUGUAACUGACGCUGAUGUGCGAAAGCGUGGGGAUCAAACAGGAUUAGAUACCCUGGUAGUCCACGCCGUAAACGAUGAGUGCUAAGUGUUAGGGGGUUUCCGCCCCUUAGUGCUGCAGCUAACGCAUUAAGCACUCCGCCUGGGGAGUACGACCGCAAGGUUGAAACUCAAAGGAAUUGACGGGGACCCGCGCAAGCGGUGGAGCAUGUGGUUUAAUUCGAAGCAACGCGAAGAACCUUACCAAAUCUUGACAUCCUUUGACAACUCUAGAGAUAGAGCCUUCCCCUUCGGGGGACAAAGUGACAGGUGGUGCAUGGUUGUCGUCAGCUCGUGUCGUGAGAUGUUGGGUUAAGUCCCGCAACGAGCGCAACCCUUAAGCUUAGUUGCCAUCAUUAAGUUGGGCACUCUAAGUUGACUGCCGGUGACAAACCGGAGGAAGGUGGGGAUGACGUCAAAUCAUCAUGCCCCUUAUGAUUUGGGCCACACACGUGCUACAAUGGACAAUACAAAGGGCAGCGAAACCGCGAGGUCAAGCAAAUCCCAUAAAGUUGUUCUCAGUUCGGAUUGUAGUCUGCAACUCGACUACAUGAAGCUGGAAUCGCUAGUAAUCGUAGAUCAGCAUGCUACGGUGAAUACGUUCCCGGGUCU
rnacentral:rRNA from 1 species